ensembl:misc_RNA Y_RNA Y RNA
GGCUGGUCUGAGUGCAGUGGUGUUUACAAUUCGACCAGUUAUAGAUUUCUUUAUUACUGCUCUACUCCCACUGCUUCACUUGACUAGCCUAAA